rnacentral:rRNA from 1 species
GACGAACGCUGGCGGCGUGCUUAACACAUGCAAGUCGAGCGGUAAGGCUCCUUCGGGGGUACACGAGCGGCGAACGGGUGAGUAACACGUGAGUAAUCUGCCCUUCACUUCGGGAUAGCUUCGGGAAACCGAAAUUAAUACCGGAUACGACUACCGAUUGCAUGAUCUGGUGGUGGAAAGUUUGUUCGGUGGGGGAUGUGCUCGCGGCCUAUCAGCUUGUGGGUGGGGUAAUGGCCUACCAAGGCUUCGACGGGUAGCCGGCCUGGGAGGGUGACCGGCCACAAUGGGCCUGAGACACGGCCCAGGCGCCGACGGGAGGCAGCAGUGGGGAAUAUUGGACAAUGGGGGAAACCCUGAUCCAGCAACGCCGCGUGAGGGAUGACGGCCUUCGGGUCGUAAACCUCUUUCAGCUCCGACGAAGUCACUCGUUGAGGGUGGUGACGGUAGGUGCAGAAGAAGGACCGGCCAACUACGUGCCAGCCGCCGCUGUAA